rnacentral:rRNA from 1 species
GACGAACGCUGGCGGCGUGCCUAAUACAUGCAAGUCGAACGAGAGCAACCGGUGCUUGCACUGGUCAAUCUAGUGGCGCACGGGUGAGUAACACGUGGGUAACCUGCCCAUCAGAGGGGGAUAACAUCCGGAAACGGAUGCUAAAACCGCAUAGGUCUUCGAACCGCAUGGUUUGAAGAGGAAAAGAGGCGCAAGCUUCUGCUGAUGGAUGGACCCGCGGUGCAUUAGCUAGUUGGUGAGGUAACGGCUCACCAAGGCCGUGAUGCAUAGCCGACCUGAGGGGCUGAUCGGCCACAUUGGGACUUAGACACGGCCCAAACUCCUACGGGAGGCAGCAGUAGGGAAUCUUCCGCAAUGGACGCAAGUCUGACGGAGCAACGCCGCGUGAGUGAAGAAGGUUUUCGGAUCGUAAAACUCUGUUGAUAGAGAAGAACAAGUGCUAGAGUAACUGUUAGCGCCUUGACGGUAUCUAACCAGAAAGCCACGGCUAACUACGUG